GUCACGAGUCCAUAUUUACAGACCUUUUACAAGGGAAAGUACCUUCCUUUCCUGCUCGCCUUGCAUUACUAACAAUCAGCGAGGAGGAAGGUGAGAGCUGCAUUCCUGCCCUGUGGAGGUGAGGUCCAUGUGAGGAAAGAUCUGCUGCUCAAUUGAUGAAUCCAUCUGAAGUCCCUAACGCUGUGCCAAAACCACAGUGAAACAGAGUCACAUGAGGUGGAAUGAACAUCGAGGCCUCGUCACAGGCCACAAUGACUCAGACUUAGAGGACACACUUGCUUCCACACUCACCAAUUUACCCACCCGCUAGCUCUGAGACAAACACUCAUUAUUCUCCAUACUCACAACUAUUUCUGCACAUUCUGAGAACUUGGUUUUACCGCUUCUCAAAAGUGCCACGUGUUGUAUAGCAGAAGAAAGUGAAUCUUGUUUUUGAUGAUGAUACAGGUUUAUCCCGUUCCCACACGUGAAGAGCGAGAACAACAUGAAUGAGGUAUUGGUACAGAGCCAAUAUUGGGCCUUUUUAAGCUCUUAAAGGGAAAAAAUAGCACUUGUGGUCAACCGAACCGCAAAUAUUUGCCUGGCGUGGUUUAUUGUAGUCAUCACAAUUCUUUGGUGGCAAAUGUAGUAGUUUUUCCCAAUAACAUCGUAAAAUUUGAGAGAUAACCUUUCAUAAUAAAAAACAGCAAACUGGACAAAUCUGAGGACAGCAUCACAGACCGUUAAUUGGCAAUACAACUUGGCUCUGCUGCUUGGUAGCUUAAGCAAUGGUACACUUUAAGAAAAAAAAGUUAUUCGGCU